AUUGAACGCUAGCGGGAUGCUUUACACAUGCAAGUCGAACGAGUGGCGGACGGGUGAGUAAUAUAUCGGAACGUGCCCAGUAGCGGGGGAUAACUACUCGAAACAGUGGCUAAUACCGCAUACUAUUGGAGCGGCCGAUAUCGGAUUAGCUAGUUGGUGGGGUAAAGGCUCACCAAGGCAACGAUCCCUAGCUGGUCUGAGAGGACGACCAGCCACACUGGGACUGAGACACGGCCCAGACUCCUACGGGAGGCAGCAGUGGGGAAUAUUGGACAAUGGGGGCAAGCCUGAUCCAGCCAUCCCGCGUGUAUGAGAAGGCCUUCGGGUUGUAAAGUACUUUUGGCGGAGAAGCGUUAUCUGCAGAAUAAGCACCGGCUAACUACGUGCCAGCAGCCGCGGUAAUUC
rnacentral:rRNA from 1 species